rnacentral:rRNA from 1 species
AUGAUAGAUCUACUGCAUGUUCUAUUUUUGCACCAUGGAUCAUGUAGGACGAAUGUCAUUCAGAUACACGAUCAGCCUUUACUGAAACUCUUUGAUAUUCCCGCCUUUUCGGUUCUGACUGAUGAACUCACCUCGGAUAAAUUCCAGCUUAUGACAGAAAUGUUGGUAGCUGGGCUAAGCUUCAGGAUUUUAUCAGUAGUUAUGAUUGAUCAACUACAGAAACUGACUAAAGUUACCUUGAAUUGUGUCUCAUCAAACGGUUUUCGGAGAGUUGGUUGCUGGGCGAAGUUAGUUUCUGUUGGUUGCUAG